rnacentral:tRNA from 1 species
GUAAGUGCAGCUCCNCAGCGAGCGUCGGUCUUGUAAGCCGAAGGUUAAAUUAAGUUAUUUCACUUGCU